GUGACAUGUUAGGACUCUAAUGAGUUUAAGACCUAAUGAGCCUCUUAAGUGAGGCCGCCAGCAACCUUUUUUUUCUGUACAUUUUAAAAAAAAAACUAAAAUUCUAUCCUUAUCGGUGGAUCACUAGGCUCGUGGAUCGAUGAAGAACGCAGCAAACUGCGAUAAUUAUUGCGAACUGCAGAAGUAUUGAGCACAAAAGUUUUGAACGCAAAUGGCCGCAUUGAGGUCAAACUCUUUGCAACGUCUGGUUCAGGGUCAUU
rnacentral:rRNA from 1 species